rnacentral:misc_RNA from 1 species
GAAAUGCGAUAAGUAAUGUGAAUUGCAGAAUUCCGUGAAUCAUCGAAUCUUUGAACGCACAUUGCGCCCCCUGGUAUUCCGGGGGGCAUGCCUGUCCGAGCGUCAUUGCAACCCUCAAGCCCGGCUUGUGUGAUGGGCCGCCGUCCCCUGUGGACGGGCCCGAAAGGCAGUGGCGGCGUCGCGGUUAUCCGAACGCCUGGUGUAUGGGGCUCUGUCACGCACCACGGCCUGGACCGGCGCCCGCCGAACCCCCUCAACUAUCUUCUAGGUUGACCUCGGAUCAGGUAGGGAUACCCGCUGAACUUAA